GUGCCAGCAGCCGCGGUAAUACCGGCAGCUCAAGGGAUGUCCCAUAUUAUUGGGCCUAAAGCGUCCGUAGCUGGCCGACCAAGUCUCCCGGGAAAUCCACCCGCCCAACGGGUGGGCGUCCGGUAGAAACUGGCCGGCUUGGAACCGGAAGGCUCAGAGAGUACGUCCGGGGUAGGAGUGAAAUCCCGUAAUCCCGGACGGACGACCGAGGGCGAAAGCACUCUGAGAAGACGGCUUCGACAGUGAGGGACGAAAGCUCGGGCCUCAAACCGGAUUAGAAACCCUAGUGUCC
rnacentral:rRNA from 1 species